ACUUACCCUGAGGGGCCAUUUCACCUCUUGUUUUACUUUUCCAGACCAAAUCAAUAGUGGGAAGAAUCGAGUCAAGACAGAUGUCAUAACUGUAUUAAAGGUCAAUGAGGUUUAAACAAAUUGGACUCUACUCAUAAAUAAUUGACUCACCAUUUAUACCAAGGUACAGAUAAACCAUGGUGUAGAAAUCAUGCCUCUCUGGAUAGAAUGGAUGUUACUGCUCCUCCAGAAUGGUCUGUGGGACAAGAAGAGUGAUUGACAACUGCAGAAAUUACAUCUGAGGUUUAGUCCUGCAGGAAAAGGGGAUACAAAUUGCCUGC
rnacentral:lncRNA from 1 species